rnacentral:rRNA from 1 species
GGGUUGUGAGGUUAAGCGACUAAGCGUACACGGUGGAUGCCCUGGCAGUCAGAGGCGAUGAAGGACGUGCUAAUCUGCGAUAAGCGUCGGUAAGGUGAUAUGAACCGUUAUAACCGGCGAUUUCCGAAUGGGGAAACCCAGUGUGUUUCGACACACUAUCAUUAACUGAAUCCAUAGGUUAAUGAGGCGAACCGGGGGAACUGAAACAUCUAAGUACCCCGAGGAAAAGAAAUCAACCGAGAUUCCCCCAGUAGCGGCGAGCGAACGGGGAGCAGCCCAGAGCCUGAAUCAGUGUGUGUGUUAGUGGAAGCGUCUGGAAAGGCGCGCGAUACAGGGUGACAGCCCCGUACACAAAAAUGCACAUAUUGUGAGCUCGAUGAGUAGGGCGGGACACGUGGUAUCCUGUCUGAAUAUGGGGGGACCAUCCUCCAAGGCUAAAUACUCCUGACUGACCGAUAGUGAACCAGUACCGUGAGGGAAAGGCGAAAAGAACCCCGGCGAGGGGAGUGAAAAAGAACCUGAAACCGUGUACGUACAAGCAGUGGGAGCCUCUUUAUGGGGUGACUGCGUACCUUUUGUAUAAUGGGUCAGCGACUUAUAUUCUGUAGCAAGGUUAACCGAAUAGGGGAGCCGAAGGGAAACCGAGUCUUAACUGGGCGUUAAGUUGCAGGGUAUAGACCCGAAACCCGGUGAUCUAGCCAUGGGCAGGUUGAAGGUUGGGUAACACUAACUGGAGGACCGAACCGACUAAUGUUGAAAAAUUAGCGGAUGACUUGUGGCUGGGGGUGAAAGGCCAAUCAAACCGGGAGAUAGCUGGUUCUCCCCGAAAGCUAUUUAGGUAGCGCCUCGUGAAUUCAUCUCCGGGGGUAGAGCACUGUUUCGGCAAGGGGGUCAUCCCGACUUACCAACCCGAUGCAAACUGCGAAUACCGGAGAAUGUUAUCACGGGAGACACACGGCGGGUGCUAACGUCCGUCGUGAAGAGGGAAACAACCCAGACCGCCAGCUAAGGUCCCAAAGUCAUGGUUAAGUGGGAAACGAUGUGGGAAGGCCCAGACAGCCAGGAUGUUGGCUUAGAAGCAGCCAUCAUUUAAAGAAAGCGUAAUAGCUCACUGGUCGAGUCGGCCUGCGCGGAAGAUGUAACGGGGCUAAACCAUGCACCGAAGCUGCGGCAGCGACACUAUGUGUUGUUGGGUAGGGGAGCGUUCUGUAAGCCUGUGAAGGUGUACUGUGAGGUAUGCUGGAGGUAUCAGAAGUGCGAAUGCUGACAUAAGUAACGAUAAAGCGGGUGAAAAGCCCGCUCGCCGGAAGACCAAGGGUUCCUGUCCAACGUUAAUCGGGGCAGGGUGAGUCGACCCCUAAGGCGAGGCCGAAAGGCGUAGUCGAUGGGAAACAGGUUAAUAUUCCUGUACUUGGUGUUACUGCGAAGGGGGGACGGAGAAGGCUAUGUUGGCCGGGCGACGGUUGUCCCGGUUUAAGCGUGUAGGCUGGUUUUCCAGGCAAAUCCGGAAAAUCAAGGCUGAGGCGUGAUGACGAGGCACUACGGUGCUGAAGCAACAAAUGCCCUGCUUCCAGGAAAAGCCUCUAAGCAUCAGGUAACAUCAAAUCGUACCCCAAACCGACACAGGUGGUCAGGUAGAGAAUACCAAGGCGCUUGAGAGAACUCGGGUGAAGGAACUAGGCAAAAUGGUGCCGUAACUUCGGGAGAAGGCACGCUGAUAUGUAGGUGAAGCGACUUGCUCGUGGAGCUGAAAUCAGUCGAAGAUACCAGCUGGCUGCAACUGUUUAUUAAAAACACAGCACUGUGCAAACACGAAAGUGGACGUAUACGGUGUGACGCCUGCCCGGUGCCGGAAGGUUAAUUGAUGGGGUCAGCGCAAGCGAAGCUCUUGAUCGAAGCCCCGGUAAACGGCGGCCGUAACUAUAACGGUCCUAAGGUAGCGAAAUUCCUUGUCGGGUAAGUUCCGACCUGCACGAAUGGCGUAAUGAUGGCCAGGCUGUCUCCACCCGAGACUCAGUGAAAUUGAACUCGCUGUGAAGAUGCAGUGUACCCGCGGCAAGACGGAAAGACCCCGUGAACCUUUACUAUAGCUUGACACUGAACAUUGAGCCUUGAUGUGUAGGAUAGGUGGGAGGCUUAGAAGUGUGGACGCCAGUCUGCAUGGAGCCGACCUUGAAAUACCACCCUUUAAUGUUUGAUGUUCUAACGUGGACCCGUGAUCCGGGUUGCGGACAGUGUCUGGUGGGUAGUUUGACUGGGGCGGUCUCCUCCUAAAGAGUAACGGAGGAGCACGAAGGUUGGCUAAUCCUGGUCGGACAUCAGGAGGUUAGUGCAAUGGCAUAAGCCAGCUUGACUGCGAGCGUGACGGCGCGAGCAGGUGCGAAAGCAGGUCAUAGUGAUCCGGUGGUUCUGAAUGGAAGGGCCAUCGCUCAACGGAUAAAAGGUACUCCGGGGAUAACAGGCUGAUACCGCCCAAGAGUUCAUAUCGACGGCGGUGUUUGGCACCUCGAUGUCGGCUCAUCACAUCCUGGGGCUGAAGUAGGUCCCAAGGGUAUGGCUGUUCGCCAUUUAAAGUGGUACGCGAGCUGGGUUUAGAACGUCGUGAGACAGUUCGGUCCCUAUCUGCCGUGGGCGCUGGAGAACUGAGGGGGGCUGCUCCUAGUACGAGAGGACCGGAGUGGACGCAUCACUGGUGUUCGGGUUGUCAUGCCAAUGGCACUGCCCGGUAGCUAAAUGCGGAAGAGAUAAGUGCUGAAAGCAUCUAAGCACGAAACUUGCCCCGAGAUGAGUUCUCCCUGACUCCUUGAGAGUCCUGAAGGAACGUUGAAGACGACGACGUUGAUAGGCCGGGUGUGUAAGCGCAGCGAUGCGUUGAGCUAACCGGUACUAAUGAACCGUGAGGCUUAACCUUACAACGCCGAAGCUGUU